rnacentral:misc_RNA from 1 species
CACCCCUCAAGCCUAGCUUGGUAUUGGGCGUCUUUUUGUCUCUCACGAGACUCGCCUUAAAAUGAUUGGCAGCCGACCUACUGGUUUCGGAGCGCAGCACAAUUCUUGCACUUUGAAUCAGCCUUGGUUGAGCAUCCAUCAAGACCACAUUUUUAAC